AUAGAACAAGGCCAAGUAAUUUGAAAUCUAAUACAAUAAUACAUUACACAAUACACAAUAUGUAAUAUGCAGUAUUCUUAUCGAUAGUUAAAAACAUUAUUUUGUAUAAUCGCUUUCUUCUUGAUUUAAAUUUAUGUCGGUCAAGUACGAUUUCGAAUAAAAUAAAAACUAAUAUUCAGUAUGUAAGUAAAUUGAGAGAUUUAACGGACGCUACGUGUUUAAUUGAUUAUGGUGACCAGUUUCGUUUGUGUGUAAGAGAGAUAGUACAAACAAUGGUUAUUCAUUUUACAACACAAGCUGGAAAUUUUUAAAUGACAAAAUAAUGGCUAUCCACCAUUAUACACUCUUUAUUGGGGUAAACUUUUAUCUCGGUAAAAUCCAAUACUGAAGUAAUUUAACAAUAGAAUCCAUUUGAAUAACAGAUACCCCCAUUGUAUGUUGGCGUUUGUUUGUUUUAAUACAGUUUGAUGGUGGGCGGCCAUAACGGUUCACAGGAAGUGGACAAUUCCAAUCAAGCCAAUUGAUUGCCAAUCAAUUCUGAUACAGUCAGACAUUUGAUGGUGGGCGGCCAUAACGGUUCACAGGAAGUGGACAAUUCCAAUCAAGCCAAUUGAUUACCAAUCAAUUCGGAUACAGUCAGACAUUUGAUGGUGGGCGGCCAUAACGGUUCACAGGAAGUGGACAAUUCCAAUCAAGCCAAUUGAUUACCAAUCAAUUCGGAUACAGUCAGACAUUUGAUGGUGGGCGGCCAUAACGGUUCACAGGAAGUGGACAAUUCCAAUCAAGCCAAUUGAUUACCAAUCAAUUCGGAUACAGUCAGACAUUUGAUGGUGGGCGGCCAUAACGGUUCACAGGAAGUGGACAAUUCCAAUCAAGCCAAUUGAUUACCAAUCAAUUCGGAUACAGUCAGACAGUAAGUAACCGCACAAGCAAUAACUAACUACCUCUGUCGCCACCACGCCAUCACGCCUGGUUUAGAGUUCGGGCCAGCCAGAUCAAGUUUUAAUAAUUUUCAUACAGCGGUAGGCUCGGUGGCGUGUAACUUAUUUGUAUAGGUAUUGAAAUUGUAGGUUUGUGCUUAGUAUCAAUUUAUUCUAAUAGUUGGUUAUAAAAUGUGGUAUUAAUAAUUAAUGUUUUGUUUAUUAUUAUUAUUUGUCUCUGUUUUUAAAAAAUGGUGGUGUAUUGUGCUCAAUGCGGUAGUUUAUCAGUAGAAUAUUUUUUAACAUUACUUAGAUUUUGUUUACUGUUUUGGACCACAGCCCUUAUUAUUUAGGUAGACUUCCAUUAAAGAAUAUAAUGUUUAGUAUUUUGAAACUUGCCUAGAAUAAUCGAGGAAAAACUGUUUUGACCAUCUCCUUAUCCAAAAGGAACCGAAAACCAACAUAGGUUAUUUAUUUUAGAGACAUUUUCAUGCCAAUUUUGGUUCCAAUCUAUCCGACCACAACUCAUCUAGAAUACUAGUGUAAAAUACUCUUUGAUCAUGGAGCUACACCCCUAAAAUAUUAAUGUACAUAUACAUUCAAAUAUAGUUAGUAUAGCUUCAAGAUACAUUUGUAAGGUUUUAAAAGUCAACAAUUUUCAAAGGAAGGAUAAACAUACACAAAUAUAUGUUGUGUCAACCCAAAGUGACCGACCACUUUCAAAUAAAUGUCUACAUAGGCCAAUGGUCCUUCAUAGUCAAACCAUUACAACUAAAAUAUAUUUACUGUUUAUUUUAUCCUAAAAGCAAAACUUUUGUAUUACAAAACUUUUAUGAGUGAAAUUCUGUUCUUAAUGGUCAAUUGAUUUACUGUUCAAACCUUAAAUAUAAAAGUAGUUUAAUUACUAGCCUGGGUUCUUAAAUGGCAGAUGUUAACAGAAAAACACCGUUGUAAAAUAAUCAGCAGUAAGGGUUUAAACUUCAAUACAGUUAAUAUCAGAUAAACCCAUCAUGUUUGCUUAUCUAUUAUUUGUUAUCCAAGUGGAUGUUGUAACCCUUCAAUUAAGAAUCGGAAUUUUAAUGACCCAAACUUCUCCAAUUCUUGCAAACAACGCUCGCGAGGACUUUAACCUCUCGUGUCCGUUUGGGCUUCACAUUUUAUCUGUCGGACACGCACUGAAAGAGCCCUGUCUGUUCACGAGGUCAUCAUGGGCCACCUGGAUGGGGUGAUCAUACACCGCAGCCCUUGAGGAGCUCGUCUGUCAUGAGUUCGCCAUCAAGUUAACGGUCGUUCUAGUUCUGUCCUUGUCCGCCAGGUAGCAGCCGACAAUGUUAGUUUAUGCGUACUUUGUGUGCCGCUGUUUGGUCUUCUGAUGUAAAUGAAUAAUUAUAAUUUAAAAUAAAACAUGUCUACCUUAAUUCGUCAUUUAAAAUGUACAUGCGUCUGUGACAUUGUAAUUGGAAGACCAUGACUAUAUAAUACUAUAAAAUUCACAGAAACAAGAUUAUUUUACCUUUGUUGUUUACCUUCCCGUUUAUAAAAUAAAUCUAAUUGUUUAUUAUAACAUUAAAUAUAAAUUUUGAGACAUCCCACUGACAGGUAGCGAAAGCUACUAGGGCUUUGACCCUCGAGAUACAAGGCAAAAGCCUAACCGGCAGAGGCUAUAUAUUUUAAUAUCUAAGAUGAAAUGCAUGCCUACUUUGCUGGCUACACAGUUCGAUGUCUGCUUAGUCCUGUGUUAUAAAUUCUUCAAAGGUAUGACAACCUACAAUAACCAGUCUUGUUCGUUAUAUCAUUCUAUUUUCUUGGUUCAGUCUUGGAGUAAAUAUGUACAUUGUUAUAUACAUAAUCAGUAUCGUACCUAUCUUCAGUGCAAAACAGAGCCACUGUCCCCUCGCUGGGUUUCUGCCAUAUUGCACUUUGUGUCACUGCGCUCGUUUGUUUCCUCAAAUUGUAGUCACAGAGUCAUUGCAGUCACUUUUUUGGUUUCUUCAGCUACUGUACAUAUAUAUCGUCCCAUAAUGUCAAAGGUAAUUUUCAACAUCUAAAACAAACUAAAUUGUUCGAAUUCAUUCAUCACUGCUGCCAUCUAUAGCAAAAGUUAAAUAACAUUAUUGUCAUAUCUAUUUGCAGCACAAUAUAAAAAUGGUAUUUGUUCAACAAAAUAUUAAAGUCUGAAAUAAAAUAUUGUAUAAUAAGUAUUAUUUCAGAAUAAAAAUAUGUCUAUGUUUUAUUCUCAUAUCUAAGCAAUGGCCAAGCCAAAUUUCGUUUAAAUCCGUUCACUAGAUUCUGUGUGAUGGAUUAUCAAGCAUCUGAACACUCAAACAUAGAAAUAUCCACACUUUCAAACAUUAUUUUUCUCACAAUUCCAUUUGUUUAACAUUUUCCUGUUUGCGGUCAAGUCAAGUCGCUGUGACUGUGGGGGGUGGAUCCCCCACAUCUUUCACGGCAGAGGCCUUGAGAGAUGUGGGGGAUCCACCACCCCCCCCCCCACAGUCAAUGACUUGACUUGACGCACAAACAGGAAAAUGUUUACACAAACAGACAAUUAUAAAAAUAUAAAUUACAAUUCACACCGUAGUGCUACUAUAUUAUAUUAUCUUCUGUAUAAGUUAUUAUAAACGUUUUUGUGUAGUAUAUAUCAAAUUAUUUUUAAUCCUUACAUAUCCAGUAUUUUAAGCAUCAUUUUAAGUAAAUCGAUGUUUAAAUUCAAUUAAUAAUUUCAGUGCAAUGCUCGGAUGCGUUGACGUGAUGGGAAACAAGUGCCAAACAUACACCUAUAACAAAAUCCUCUUUAAUAAAAUAUUAUGAUGUAUAAGAGUAAAAGUACAUUUAAAAGACUAUAAUCUAUACAUAAGCUUCCAAACUGACGAUAGAACAAGGCCAAGUAAUUUGAAAUCUAAUACAAUAAUACAUUACACAAUACACAAUAUGUAAUAUGCAGUAUUCUUAUCGAUAGUUAAAAACAUUAUUUUGUAUAAUCGCUUUCUUCUUGAUUUAAAUUUAUGUCGGUCAAGUAUGAUUUCGAAUAAAAUAAAAACUAAUAUUCAGUAUGUAAGUAAAUUGAGAGAUUUAACGGACGCUACGUGUUUAAUUGAUUAUGGUGACCAGUUUCGUUUGUGUGUAAGAGAGAUAGUACAAACAAUGGUUAUUCAUUUUACAACACAAGCUGGAAAUUUUUAAAUGACAAAAUAAUGGCUAUCCACCAUUAUACACUCUUUAUUGGGGUAAACCUUUAUCUCGGCAAAAUCCAAUACCGAAGUAAUUUAACAAUAGAAUUCAUUUGAAUAACAGAUACCCCCAUUGAAUGUUGGCGUUUGUUUGUUUUAAUACAGUUUGAUGGUGGGCGGCCAUAACGGUUCACAGGAAGUGGACAAUUCCAAUCAAGCCAAUUGAUUACCAAUCAAUUCGGAUACAGUCAGACAUUUGAUGGUGGGCGGCCAUAACGGUUCACAGGAAGUGGACAAUUCCAAUCAAGCCAAUUGAUUACCAAUCAAUUCGGAUACAGUCAGACAUUUGAUGGUGGGCGGCCAUAACGGUUCACAGGAAGUGGACAAUUCCAAUCAAGCCAAUUGAUUACCAAUCAAUUCGGAUACAGUCAGACAUUUGAUGGUGGGCGGCCAUAACGGUUCACAGGAAGUGGACAAUUCCAAUCAAGCCAAUUGAUUACCAAUCAAUUCGGAUACAGUCAGACAGUAAGUAACCGCACAAGCAAUAACUAACUACCUCUGUCGCCACCACGCCAUCACGCCUGGUUUAGAGUUCGGGCCAGCCAGAUCAAGUUUUAAUAAUUUUCAUACAGCGGUAGGCUCGGUGGCGUGUAACUUAUUUGUAUAGGUAUUGAAAUUGUAGGUUUGUGCUUAGUAUCAAUUUAUUCUAAUAGUUGGUUAUAAAAUGUGGUAUUAAUAAUUAAUGUUUUGUUUAUUAUUAUUAUUUGUCUCUGUUUUUAAAAAAUGGUGGUGUAUUGUGCUCAAUGCGGUAGUUUAUCAGUAGAAUAUUUUUUAACAUUACUUAGAUUUUGUUUACUGUUUUGGACCACAGCCCUUAUUAUUUAGGUAGACUUCCAUUAAAGAAUAUAAUGUUUAGUAUUUUGAAACUUGCCUAGAAUAAUCGAGGAAAAACUGUUUUGACCAUCUCCUUAUCCAAAAGGAACCGAAAACCAACAUAGGUUAUUUAUUUUAGAGACAUUUUCAUGCCAAUUUUGGUUCCAAUCUAUCCGACCACAACUCAUCUAGAAUACUAGUGUAAAAUACUCUUUGAUCAUGGAGCUACACCCCUAAAAUAUUAAUGUACAUAUACAUUCAAAUAUAGUUAGUAUAGCUUCAAGAUACAUUUGUAAGGUUUUAAAAGUCAACAAUUUUCAAAGGAAGGAUAAACAUACACAAAUAUAUGUUGUGUCAACCCAAAGUGACCGACCACUUUCAAAUAAAUGUCUACAUAGGCCAAUGGUCCUUCAUAGUCAAACCAUUACAACUAAAAUAUAUUUACUGUUUAUUUUAUCCUAAAAGCAAAACUUUUGUAUUACAAAACUUUUAUGAGUGAAAUUCUGUUCUUAAUGGUCAAUUGAUUUACUGUUCAAACCUUAAAUAUAAAAGUAGUUUAAUUACUAGCCUGGGUUCUUAAAUGGCAGAUGUUAACAGAAAAACACCGUUGUAAAAUAAUCAGCAGUAAGGGUUUAAACUUCAAUACAGUUAAUAUCAGAUAAACCCAUCAUGUUUGCUUAUCUAUUAUUUGUUAUCCAAGUGGAUGUUGUAACCCUUCAAUUAAGAAUCGGAAUUUUAAUGACCCAAACUUCUCCAAUUCUUGCAAACAACGCUCGCGAGGACUUUAACCUCUCGUGUCCGUUUGGGCUUCACAUUUUAUCUGUCGGACACGCACUGAAAGAGCCCUGUCUGUUCACGAGGUCAUCAUGGGCCACCUGGAUGGGGUGAUCAUACACCGCAGCCCUUGAGGAGCUCGUCUGUCAUGAGUUCGCCAUCAAGUUAACGGUCGUUCUAGUUCUGUCCUUGUCCGCCAGGUAGCAGCCGACAAUGUUAGUUUAUGCGUACUUUGUGUGCCGCUGUUUGGUCUUCUGAUGUAAAUGAAUAAUUAUAAUUUAAAAUAAAACAUGUCUACCUUAAUUCGUCAUUUAAAAUGUACAUGCGUCUGUGACAUUGUAAUUGGAAGACCAUGACUAUAUAAUACUAUAAAAUUCACAGAAACAAGAUUAUUUUACCUUUGUUGUUUACCUUCCCGUUUAUAAAAUAAAUCUAAUUGUUUAUUAUAACAUUAAAUAUAAAUUUUGAGACAUCCCACUGACAGGUAGCGAAAGCUACUAGGGCUUUGACCCUCGAGAUACAAGGCAAAAGCCUAACCGGCAGAGGCUAUAUAUUUUAAUAUCUAAGAUGAAAUGCAUGCCUACUUUGCUGGCUACACAGUUCGAUGUCUGCUUAGUCCUGUGUUAUAAAUUCUUCAAAGGUAUGACAACCUACAAUAACCAGUCUUGUUCGUUAUAUCAUUCUAUUUUCUUGGUUCAGUCUUGGAGUAAAUAUGUACAUUGUUAUAUACAUAAUCAGUAUCGUACCUAUCUUCAGUGCAAAACAGAGCCACUGUCCCCUCGCUGGGUUUCUGCCAUAUUGCACUUUGUGUCACUGCGCUCGUUUGUUUCCUCAAAUUGUAGUCACAGAGUCAUUGCAGUCACUUUUUUGGUUUCUUCAGCUACUGUACAUAUAUAUCGUCCCAUAAUGUCAAAGGUAAUUUUCAACAUCUAAAACAAACUAAAUUGUUCGAAUUCAUUCAUCACUGCUGCCAUCUAUAGCAAAAGUUAAAUAACAUUAUUGUCAUAUCUAUUUGCAGCACAAUAUAAAAAUGGUAUUUGUUCAACAAAAUAUUAAAGUCUGAAAUAAAAUAUUGUAUAAUAAGUAUUAUUUCAGAAUAAAAAUAUGUCUAUGUUUUAUUCUCAUAUCUAAGCAAUGGCCAAGCCAAAUUUCGUUUAAAUCCGUUCACUAGAUUCUGUGUGAUGGAUUAUCAAGCAUCUGAACACUCAAACAUAGAAAUAUCCACACUUUCAAACAUUAUUUUUCUCACAAUUCCAUUUGUUUAACAUUUUCCUGUUUGCGGUCAAGUCAAGUCGCUGUGACUGUGGGGGGUGGAUCCCCCACAUCUUUCACGGCAGAGGCCUUGAGAGAUGUGGGGGAUCCACCACCCCCCCCCCACAGUCAAUGACUUGACUUGACGCACAAACAGGAAAAUGUUUACACAAACAGACAAUUAUAAAAAUAUAAAUUACAAUUCACACCGUAGUGCUACUAUAUUAUAUUAUCUUCUGUAUAAGUUAUUAUAAACGUUUUUGUGUAGUAUAUAUCAAAUUAUUUUUAAUCCUUACAUAUCCAGUAUUUUAAGCAUCAUUUUAAGUAAAUCGAUGUUUAAAUUCAAUUAAUAAUUUCAGUGCAAUGCUCGGAUGCGUUGACGUGAUGGGAAACAAGUGCCAAACAUACACCUAUAACAAAAUCCUCUUUAAUAAAAUAUUAUGAUGUAUAAGAGUAAAAGUACAUUUAAAAGACUAUAAUCUAUACAUAAGCUUCCAAACUGACGAUAGAACAAGGCCAAGUAAUUUGAAAUCUAAUACAAUAAUACAUUACACAAUACACAAUAUGUAAUAUGCAGUAUUCUUAUCGAUAGUUAAAAACAUUAUUUUGUAUAAUCGCUUUCUUCUUGAUUUAAAUUUAUGUCGGUCAAGUAUGAUUUCGAAUAAAAUAAAAACUAAUAUUCAGUAUGUAAGUAAAUUGAGAGAUUUAACGGACGCUACGUGUUUAAUUGAUUAUGGUGACCAGUUUCGUUUGUGUGUAAGAGAGAUAGUACAAACAAUGGUUAUUCAUUUUACAACACAAGCUGGAAAUUUUUAAAUGACAAAAUAAUGGCUAUCCACCAUUAUACACUCUUUAUUGGGGUAAACCUUUAUCUCGGCAAAAUCCAAUACCGAAGUAAUUUAACAAUAGAAUUCAUUUGAAUAACAGAUACCCCCAUUGAAUGUUGGCGUUUGUUUGUUUUAAUACAGUUUGAUGGUGGGCGGCCAUAACGGUUCACAGGAAGUGGACAAUUCCAAUCAAGCCAAUUGAUUACCAAUCAAUUCGGAUACAGUCAGACAGUAAGUAACCGCACAAGCAAUAACUAACUACCUCUGUCGCCACCACGCCAUCACGCCUGGUUUAGAGUUCGGGCCAGCCAGAUCAAGUUUUAAUAAUUUUCAUACAGCGGUAGGCUCGGUGGCGUGUAACUUAUUUGUAUAGGUAUUGAAAUUGUAGGUUUGUGCUUAGUAUCAAUUUAUUCUAAUAGUUGGUUAUAAAAUGUGGUAUUAAUAAUUAAUGUUUUGUUUAUUAUUAUUAUUUGUCUCUGUUUUUAAAAAAUGGUGGUGUAUUGUGCUCAAUGCGGUAGUUUAUCAGUAGAAUAUUUUUUAACAUUACUUAGAUUUUGUUUACUGUUUUGGACCACAGCCCUUAUUAUUUAGGUAGACUUCCAUUAAAGAAUAUAAUGUUUAGUAUUUUGAAACUUGCCUAGAAUAAUCGAGGAAAAACUGUUUUGACCAUCUCCUUAUCCAAAAGGAACCGAAAACCAACAUAGGUUAUUUAUUUUAGAGACAUUUUCAUGCCAAUUUUGGUUCCAAUCUAUCCGACCACAACUCAUCUAGAAUACUAGUGUAAAAUACUCUUUGAUCAUGGAGCUACACCCCUAAAAUAUUAAUGUACAUAUACAUUCAAAUAUAGUUAGUAUAGCUUCAAGAUACAUUUGUAAGGUUUUAAAAGUCAACAAUUUUCAAAGGAAGGAUAAACAUACACAAAUAUAUGUUGUGUCAACCCAAAGUGACCGACCACUUUCAAAUAAAUGUCUACAUAGGCCAAUGGUCCUUCAUAGUCAAACCAUUACAACUAAAAUAUAUUUACUGUUUAUUUUAUCCUAAAAGCAAAACUUUUGUAUUACAAAACUUUUAUGAGUGAAAUUCUGUUCUUAAUGGUCAAUUGAUUUACUGUUCAAACCUUAAAUAUAAAAGUAGUUUAAUUACUAGCCUGGGUUCUUAAAUGGCAGAUGUUAACAGAAAAACACUGUUGUAAAAUAAUCAGCAGUAAGGGUUUAAACUUCAAUACAGUUAAUAUCAGAUAAACCCAUCAUGUUUGCUUAUCUAUUAUUUGUUAUCCAAGUGGAUGUUGUAACCCUUCAAUUAAGAAUCGGAAUUUUAAUGACCCAAACUUCUCCAAUUCUUGCAAACAACGCUCGCGAGGACUUUAACCUCUCGUGUCCGUUUGGGCUUCACAUUUUAUCUGUCGGACACGCACUGAAAGAGCCCUGUCUGUUCACGAGGUCAUCAUGGGCCACCUGGAUGGGGUGAUCAUACACCGCAGCCCUUGAGGAGCUCGUCUGUCAUGAGUUCGCCAUCAAGUUAACGGUCGUUCUAGUUCUGUCCUUGUCCGCCAGGUAGCAGCCGACAAUGUUAGUUUAUGCGUACUUUGUGUGCCGCUGUUUGGUCUUCUGAUGUAAAUGAAUAAUUAUAAUUUAAAAUAAAACAUGUCUACCUUAAUUCGUCAUUUAAAAUGUACAUGCGUCUGUGACAUUGUAAUUGGAAGACCAUGACUAUAUAAUACUAUAAAAUUCACAGAAACAAGAUUAUUUUACCUUUGUUGUUUACCUUCCCGUUUAUAAAAUAAAUCUAAUUGUUUAUUAUAACAUUAAAUAUAAAUUUUGAGACAUCCCACUGACAGGUAGCGAAAGCUACUAGGGCUUUGACCCUCGAGAUACAAGGCAAAAGCCUAACCGGCAGAGGCUAUAUAUUUUAAUAUCUAAGAUGAAAUGCAUGCCUACUUUGCUGGCUACACAGUUCGAUGUCUGCUUAGUCCUGUGUUAUAAAUUCUUCAAAGGUAUGACAACCUACAAUAACCAGUCUUGUUCGUUAUAUCAUUCUAUUUUCUUGGUUCAGUCUUGGAGUAAAUAUGUACAUUGUUAUAUACAUAAUCAGUAUCGUACCUAUCUUCAGUGCAAAACAGAGCCACUGUCCCCUCGCUGGGUUUCUGCCAUAUUGCACUUUGUGUCACUGCGCUCGUUUGUUUCCUCAAAUUGUAGUCACAGAGUCAUUGCAGUCACUUUUUUGGUUUCUUCAGCUACUGUACAUAUAUAUCGUCCCAUAAUGUCAAAGGUAAUUUUCAACAUCUAAAACAAACUAAAUUGUUCGAAUUCAUUCAUCACUGCUGCCAUCUAUAGCAAAAGUUAAAUAACAUUAUUGUCAUAUCUAUUUGCAGCACAAUAUAAAAAUGGUAUUUGUUCAACAAAAUAUUAAAGUCUGAAAUAAAAUAUUGUAUAAUAAGUAUUAUUUCAGAAUAAAAAUAUGUCUAUGUUUUAUUCUCAUAUCUAAGCAAUGGCCAAGCCAAAUUUCGUUUAAAUCCGUUCACUAGAUUCUGUGUGAUGGAUUAUCAAGCAUCUGAACACUCAAACAUAGAAAUAUCCACACUUUCAAACAUUAUUUUUCUCACAAUUCCAUUUGUUUAACAUUUUCCUGUUUGCGGUCAAGUCAAGUCGCUGUGACUGUGGGGGGUGGAUCCCCCACAUCUUUCACGGCAGAGGCCUUGAGAGAUGUGGGGGAUCCACCACCCCCCCCCCCACAGUCAAUGACUUGACUUGACGCACAAACAGGAAAAUGUUUACACAAACAGACAAUUAUAAAAAUAUAAAUUACAAUUCACACCGUAGUGCUACUAUAUUAUAUUAUCUUCUGUAUAAGUUAUUAUAAACGUUUUUGUGUAGUAUAUAUCAAAUUAUUUUUAAUCCUUACAUAUCCAGUAUUUUAAGCAUCAUUUUAAGUAAAUCGAUGUUUAAAUUCAAUUAAUAAUUUCAGUGCAAUGCUCGGAUGCGUUGACGUGAUGGGAAACAAGUGCCAAACAUACACCUAUAACAAAAUCCUCUUUAAUAAAAUAUUAUGAUGUAUAAGAGUAAAAGUACAUUUAAAAGACUAUAAUCUAUACAUAAGCUUCCAAACUGACGAUAGAACAAGGCCAAGUAAUUUGAAAUCUAAUACAAUAAUACAUUACACAAUACACAAUAUGUAAUAUGCAGUAUUCUUAUCGAUAGUUAAAAACAUUAUUUUGUAUAAUCGCUUUCUUCUUGAUUUAAAUUUAUGUCGGUCAAGUAUGAUUUCGAAUAAAAUAAAAACUAAUAUUCAGUAUGUAAGUAAAUUGAGAGAUUUAACGGACGCUACGUGUUUAAUUGAUUAUGGUGACCAGUUUCGUUUGUGUGUAAGAGAGAUAGUACAAACAAUGGUUAUUCAUUUUACAACACAAGCUGGAAAUUUUUAAAUGACAAAAUAAUGGCUAUCCACCAUUAUACACUCUUUAUUGGGGUAAACCUUUAUCUCGGCAAAAUCCAAUACCGAAGUAAUUUAACAAUAGAAUUCAUUUGAAUAACAGAUACCCCCAUUGAAUGUUGGCGUUUGUUUGUUUUAAUACAGUUUGAUGGUGGGCGGCCAUAACGGUUCACAGGAAGUGGACAAUUCCAAUCAAGCCAAUUGAUUACCAAUCAAUUCGGAUACAGUCAGACAGUAAGUAACCGCACAAGCAAUAACUAACUACCUCUGUCGCCACCACGCCAUCACGCCUGGUUUAGAGUUCGGGCCAGCCAGAUCAAGUUUUAAUAAUUUUCAUACAGCGGUAGGCUCGGUGGCGUGUAACUUAUUUGUAUAGGUAUUGAAAUUGUAGGUUUGUGCUUAGUAUCAAUUUAUUCUAAUAGUUGGUUAUAAAAUGUGGUAUUAAUAAUUAAUGUUUUGUUUAUUAUUAUUAUUUGUCUCUGUUUUUAAAAAAUGGUGGUGUAUUGUGCUCAAUGCGGUAGUUUAUCAGUAGAAUAUUUUUUAACAUUACUUAGAUUUUGUUUACUGUUUUGGACCACAGCCCUUAUUAUUUAGGUAGACUUCCAUUAAAGAAUAUAAUGUUUAGUAUUUUGAAACUUGCCUAGAAUAAUCGAGGAAAAACUGUUUUGACCAUCUCCUUAUCCAAAAGGAACCGAAAACCAACAUAGGUUAUUUAUUUUAGAGACAUUUUCAUGCCAAUUUUGGUUCCAAUCUAUCCGACCACAACUCAUCUAGAAUACUAGUGUAAAAUACUCUUUGAUCAUGGAGCUACACCCCUAAAAUAUUAAUGUACAUAUACAUUCAAAUAUAGUUAGUAUAGCUUCAAGAUACAUUUGUAAGGUUUUAAAAGUCAACAAUUUUCAAAGGAAGGAUAAACAUACACAAAUAUAUGUUGUGUCAACCCAAAGUGACCGACCACUUUCAAAUAAAUGUCUACAUAGGCCAAUGGUCCUUCAUAGUCAAACCAUUACAACUAAAAUAUAUUUACUGUUUAUUUUAUCCUAAAAGCAAAACUUUUGUAUUACAAAACUUUUAUGAGUGAAAUUCUGUUCUUAAUGGUCAAUUGAUUUACUGUUCAAACCUUAAAUAUAAAAGUAGUUUAAUUACUAGCCUGGGUUCUUAAAUGGCAGAUGUUAACAGAAAAACACUGUUGUAAAAUAAUCAGCAGUAAGGGUUUAAACUUCAAUACAGUUAAUAUCAGAUAAACCCAUCAUGUUUGCUUAUCUAUUAUUUGUUAUCCAAGUGGAUGUUGUAACCCUUCAAUUAAGAAUCGGAAUUUUAAUGACCCAAACUUCUCCAAUUCUUGCAAACAACGCUCGCGAGGACUUUAACCUCUCGUGUCCGUUUGGGCUUCACAUUUUAUCUGUCGGACACGCACUGAAAGAGCCCUGUCUGUUCACGAGGUCAUCAUGGGCCACCUGGAUGGGGUGAUCAUACACCGCAGCCCUUGAGGAGCUCGUCUGUCAUGAGUUCGCCAUCAAGUUAACGGUCGUUCUAGUUCUGUCCUUGUCCGCCAGGUAGCAGCCGACAAUGUUAGUUUAUGCGUACUUUGUGUGCCGCUGUUUGGUCUUCUGAUGUAAAUGAAUAAUUAUAAUUUAAAAUAAAACAUGUCUACCUUAAUUCGUCAUUUAAAAUGUACAUGCGUCUGUGACAUUGUAAUUGGAAGACCAUGACUAUAUAAUACUAUAAAAUUCACAGAAACAAGAUUAUUUUACCUUUGUUGUUUACCUUCCCGUUUAUAAAAUAAAUCUAAUUGUUUAUUAUAACAUUAAAUAUAAAUUUUGAGACAUCCCACUGACAGGUAGCGAAAGCUACUAGGGCUUUGACCCUCGAGAUACAAGGCAAAAGCCUAACCGGCAGAGGCUAUAUAUUUUAAUAUCUAAGAUGAAAUGCAUGCCUACUUUGCUGGCUACACAGUUCGAUGUCUGCUUAGUCCUGUGUUAUAAAUUCUUCAAAGGUAUGACAACCUACAAUAACCAGUCUUGUUCGUUAUAUCAUUCUAUUUUCUUGGUUCAGUCUUGGAGUAAAUAUGUACAUUGUUAUAUACAUAAUCAGUAUCGUACCUAUCUUCAGUGCAAAACAGAGCCACUGUCCCCUCGCUGGGUUUCUGCCAUAUUGCACUUUGUGUCACUGCGCUCGUUUGUUUCCUCAAAUUGUAGUCACAGAGUCAUUGCAGUCACUUUUUUGGUUUCUUCAGCUACUGUACAUAUAUAUCGUCCCAUAAUGUCAAAGGUAAUUUUCAACAUCUAAAACAAACUAAAUUGUUCGAAUUCAUUCAUCACUGCUGCCAUCUAUAGCAAAAGUUAAAUAACAUUAUUGUCAUAUCUAUUUGCAGCACAAUAUAAAAAUGGUAUUUGUUCAACAAAAUAUUAAAGUCUGAAAUAAAAUAUUGUAUAAUAAGUAUUAUUUCAGAAUAAAAAUAUGUCUAUGUUUUAUUCUCAUAUCUAAGCAAUGGCCAAGCCAAAUUUCGUUUAAAUCCGUUCACUAGAUUCUGUGUGAUGGAUUAUCAAGCAUCUGAACACUCAAACAUAGAAAUAUCCACACUUUCAAACAUUAUUUUUCUCACAAUUCCAUUUGUUUAACAUUUUCCUGUUUGCGGUCAAGUCAAGUCGCUGUGACUGUGGGGGGUGGAUCCCCCACAUCUUUCACGGCAGAGGCCUUGAGAGAUGUGGGGGAUCCACCACCCCCCCCCCACAGUCAAUGACUUGACUUGACGCACAAACAGGAAAAUGUUUACACAAACAGACAAUUAUAAAAAUAUAAAUUACAAUUCACACCGUAGUGCUACUAUAUUAUAUUAUCUUCUGUAUAAGUUAUUAUAAACGUUUUUGUGUAGUAUAUAUCAAAUUAUUUUUAAUCCUUACAUAUCCAGUAUUUUAAGCAUCAUUUUAAGUAAAUCGAUGUUUAAAUUCAAUUAAUAAUUUCAGUGCAAUGCUCGGAUGCGUUGACGUGAUGGGAAACAAGUGCCAAACAUACACCUAUAACAAAAUCCUCUUUAAUAAAAUAUUAUGAUGUAUAAGAGUAAAAGUACAUUUAAAAGACUAUAAUCUAUACAUAAGCUUCCAAACUGACGAUAGAACAAGGCCAAGUAAUUUGAAAUCUAAUACAAUAAUACAUUACACAAUACACAAUAUGUAAUAUGCAGUAUUCUUAUCGAUAGUUAAAAACAUUAUUUUGUAUAAUCGCUUUCUUCUUGAUUUAAAUUUAUGUCGGUCAAGUAUGAUUUCGAAUAAAAUAAAAACUAAUAUUCAGUAUGUAAGUAAAUUGAGAGAUUUAACGGACGCUACGUGUUUAAUUGAUUAUGGUGACCAGUUUCGUUUGUGUGUAAGAGAGAUAGUACAAACAAUGGUUAUUCAUUUUACAACACAAGCUGGAAAUUUUUAAAUGACAAAAUAAUGGCUAUCCACCAUUAUACACUCUUUAUUGGGGUAAACCUUUAUCUCGGCAAAAUCCAAUACCGAAGUAAUUUAACAAUAGAAUUCAUUUGAAUAACAGAUACCCCCAUUGAAUGUUGGCGUUUGUUUGUUUUAAUACAGUUUGAUGGUGGGCGGCCAUAACGGUUCACAGGAAGUGGACAAUUCCAAUCAAGCCAAUUGAUUACCAAUCAAUUCGGAUACAGUCAGACAGUAAGUAACCGCACAAGCAAUAACUAACUACCUCUGUCGCCACCACGCCAUCACGCCUGGUUUAGAGUUCGGGCCAGCCAGAUCAAGUUUUAAUAAUUUUCAUACAGCGGUAGGCUCGGUGGCGUGUAACUUAUUUGUAUAGGUAUUGAAAUUGUAGGUUUGUGCUUAGUAUCAAUUUAUUCUAAUAGUUGGUUAUAAAAUGUGGUAUUAAUAAUUAAUGUUUUGUUUAUUAUUAUUAUUUGUCUCUGUUUUUAAAAAAUGGUGGUGUAUUGUGCUCAAUGCGGUAGUUUAUCAGUAGAAUAUUUUUUAACAUUACUUAGAUUUUGUUUACUGUUUUGGACCACAGCCCUUAUUAUUUAGGUAGACUUCCAUUAAAGAAUAUAAUGUUUAGUAUUUUGAAACUUGCCUAGAAUAAUCGAGGAAAAACUGUUUUGACCAUCUCCUUAUCCAAAAGGAACCGAAAACCAACAUAGGUUAUUUAUUUUAGAGACAUUUUCAUGCCAAUUUUGGUUCCAAUCUAUCCGACCACAACUCAUCUAGAAUACUAGUGUAAAAUACUCUUUGAUCAUGGAGCUACACCCCUAAAAUAUUAAUGUACAUAUACAUUCAAAUAUAGUUAGUAUAGCUUCAAGAUACAUUUGUAAGGUUUUAAAAGUCAACAAUUUUCAAAGGAAGGAUAAACAUACACAAAUAUAUGUUGUGUCAACCCAAAGUGACCGACCACUUUCAAAUAAAUGUCUACAUAGGCCAAUGGUCCUUCAUAGUCAAACCAUUACAACUAAAAUAUAUUUACUGUUUAUUUUAUCCUAAAAGCAAAACUUUUGUAUUACAAAACUUUUAUGAGUGAAAUUCUGUUCUUAAUGGUCAAUUGAUUUACUGUUCAAACCUUAAAUAUAAAAGUAGUUUAAUUACUAGCCUGGGUUCUUAAAUGGCAGAUGUUAACAGAAAAACACCGUUGUAAAAUAAUCAGCAGUAAGGGUUUAAACUUCAAUACAGUUAAUAUCAGAUAAACCCAUCAUGUUUGCUUAUCUAUUAUUUGUUAUCCAAGUGGAUGUUGUAACCCUUCAAUUAAGAAUCGGAAUUUUAAUGACCCAAACUUCUCCAAUUCUUGCAAACAACGCUCGCGAGGACUUUAACCUCUCGUGUCCGUUUGGGCUUCACAUUUUAUCUGUCGGACACGCACUGAAAGAGCCCUGUCUGUUCACGAGGUCAUCAUGGGCCACCUGGAUGGGGUGAUCAUACACCGCAGCCCUUGAGGAGCUCGUCUGUCAUGAGUUCGCCAUCAAGUUAACGGUCGUUCUAGUUCUGUCCUUGUCCGCCAGGUAGCAGCCGACAAUGUUAGUUUAUGCGUACUUUGUGUGCCGCUGUUUGGUCUUCUGAUGUAAAUGAAUAAUUAUAAUUUAAAAUA
rnacentral:lncRNA from 1 species